rnacentral:rRNA from 1 species
UGCAGUCGAGCGGACCAAUGCUCAUUUCAGCUUUACUGAUUUGAGCAUUGGUUAGCGGCGGACGGGUGAGUAACGCGUGGGCAACCUGCCCUGUGCAGGGGGAUAACACAGCGAAAGCUGUGCUAAUACCCCAUAAGACUACGCUAUCGCAUGAUAGAGUAGUCAAAGCUUUAGCGGCACAGGAUGGGCCCGCGUCUGAUUAGCUAGUUGGUGGGGUAACGGCCUACCAAGGCGACGAUCAGUAGCCGACCUGAGAGGGUGAUCGGCCACACUGGAACUGAGACACGGUCCAGACUCCUACGGGAGGCAGCAGUGGGGAAUAUUGCACAAUGGGGGAAACCCUGAUGCAGCAACGCCGCGUGAGCGAAGAAGGCCUUCGGGUCGUAAAGCUCUGUCCUAAGGGAAGAAGUAUGACGGUACCUUAGGAGGAAGCCCCGGCUAACUACGUGCCAGCAGCCGCGGUAAUACGUAGGGGGCGAGCGUUAUCCGGAAUCACUGGGCGUAAAGGGUGCGUAGGCGGCCGAGUAAGCCAGAGGUGAAAGGCUACGGCUUAACCGUAGUAAGCCUUUGGAACUACUUGGCUUGAGUGCAGGAGAGGAGAGUGGAAUUCCUAGUGUAGCGGUGAAAUGCGUAGAUAUUAGGAGGAACACCAGUGGCGAAGGCGACUCUCUGGACUGUAACUGACGCUGANGCACGAAAGCGUGGGGAGCAAACAGGAUUANAUACCCUGGUAGUCCACGCCGUAAACGAUGAGUGCUAGGGUGUCGGGGGUUCACACCCUCGGUGCCGGAGUUAACGCAAUAAGCACUCCGCCUGGGGAGUACGGUCGCAAGACUGAAACUCAAAGGAAUUGACGGGGACC